rnacentral:rRNA from 1 species
GAUGACCUCAGAGCAGGCGAGACUACCCGCUGAAUUUAAGCAUAUUACUAAGCGGAGGAAAAGAAACUAACAAGGAUUUCCUUAGUAGCGGCGAGCGAACAGGAAUUAGCCCAGCACUGAAUCCCGCGGUUCUGCCGUAGGGAAAUGUAGUGUUCGGGGGGGUUCGUUUUAUCCCGCGGCGUCGGACCGCGUCCAAGUCCAUCUUGAAUGGGGCCAUUUACCCGUAGAGGGUGCCAGGCCCGUAGAGACCGGUACGCGCCAUGGGUGAACCUCUCCUUAGAGUCGGGUUGCUUGAGAGUGCAGCUCUAAGUUGGUGGUAAACUCCAUCUAAGGCUAAAUAUG